rnacentral:rRNA from 1 species
GACGAACGCUGGCGGCGUGCUUAACACAUGCAAGUCGAACGGAAAGGCCCUGCUUUUGUGGGGUGCUCGAGUGGCGAACGGGUGAGUAACACGUGAGUAACCUGCCCUUGACUUUGGGAUAACUUCAGGAAACUGGGGCUAAUACCGGAUAGGAGCUCCUGCUGCAUGGUGGGGGUUGGAAAGUUUCGGCGGUUGGGGAUGGACUCGCGGCUUAUGAGCUUGUUGGUGGGGUAGUGGAUUACCAAGGCGUUGACGGGUAGCCGGCCUGUGAGGGUGACCGGCAACAUUGUGACUGAGAAACGGCCCAGACGCCUACGGGAGGCAGGAGUGGGGAAUAUUGCACAAUGGGCGGAAGCCGGAUGCAGCAACGCCGGGUGCGGGAUGACGGCCUUCGGGUUGUAAACCGCUUUCGCCUGUGACGAAGCGUGAGUGACGGUAAUGGGUAAAGAAGCACCGGCUAACUACGU